rnacentral:tRNA from 1 species
GGUAUCGUGGCGGAAUUGGUAGACGCUAUAAGUCGGAUGGGUAGAGAGACAGAGCACAGUGUUAUUCCACACCUAAAAGGAAGGGAGUUUCUCAUGCAGGUUCGAAUCCUGCCGGUACCA